rnacentral:rRNA from 1 species
AUGGAGGGGAUGUGGAGGAAGGCCAAGAGGGCGAUGGGCAUUGGCUUCUGCGCGCACCUCCCCGCCGUCGCCGGCGACCGGGACGACUGCGCCAGCGAGCGCCGCGCGUCCGACGCCUUCUCCCAGGACUCGGCGGCGCUGGCGGCGUUGGCGCACGCGUCCGCGCCCAAUACGCCGGCGCAGGCGGAGGCAGCCGGCGCGCUGCUCCGCAGGUCCAAGUCGGGAGCCAAGUCCUCCAAGAAAACGUGCGCGAUAUGUUUUGAUUCCAUGAAGCCAGGUCAUGGGCAAGCCCUCUUCACUGCUGAAUGUUCUCACAUGUUCCAUUUUCACUGCAUCUCCUCCAGUGUAAAACAUGGGAAUUAUGUAUGCCCAGUUUGCCGAGCAAAGUGGAAAGAGAUACCAUUUAAUCGCUCGCUAUCUUCUAUUGUUCCUCGUGGAAGAAGUGGGUUGAAUGUGAACCAAGCUCGAUUACCCCAACAAGAUGCUUACAUGGCUCUCCUUCGUCAAGUUCCAACCCGGCAGCGAGAAGUACCCACCUUGCAUACUUCUGAGCCAGUAGAGUUCAAUGAUGAUGAACCUUUGCAGCUGAUGGAGGCUGCUGACAAUUGUGAUGUUAGUUCCAGUAAAACUGUGGAAAUGAAGACAUAUUCAGAGUUCUCGGCCAUUCCACAGUCAUCAUCUCAAGAUGAUUUCGCUGUUCUGAUCCAUCUGAAGGCCCCCUGUGCUAACCCAGAGCAGAUCACAAGCAGACCGGUUAAUGCAACCUCAGUUGGGUAUCCGACAUCUCGUGCCCCUGUUGAUCUUGUUACCUUGCUUGAUGUUAGCGGCAGUAUGGCAGGAACCAAGUUGGCGCUGUUGAAGCGAGCAAUGGGUUUUGUUAUUCAACACCUUGGUCCAUCUGAUCGCCUUUCAGUCAUUGCUUUCUCGUCUACUGCCAAAAGGUUGUUCCAUCUCCGACGCAUGUCACACUCUGGCCGACAGCAGGCCCUGCAGGCUGUUAACUCACUUGGUGCUGGUGGCGGCACAAAUAUUGCUGAUGCGUUGAAGAAAGCUGCUAAGGUUAUUGAGGAUCGCAGUUAUAAGAAUCCAGUAUGCAGUAUUACUCUGUUAUCAGAUGGUCAAGAUACCUAUAAUAUUUCCUCAAAUGUUAGGGGAACCCGUCCUGAUUAUAGGUCCCUUGUUCCAUCUUCCAUUCUAAACCAAGCUGUAGGCAUAGUACCUGUCCAUGGGUUUGGUUUUGGAGCAGAUCAUGAUUCAGAUGCUUUGCACUCAAUAGCCGAGGUCUCUGGUGGUACAUUUUCCUUCAUUGAGGACGAGGGUGUGAUUCAGGAUGCAUUUGCUCAGUGCAUUGGUGGUCUUCUUAGUGUUGUUGUUCAGGAUAUGCGCUUAACUGUGCAGUGUGUGCAUACUGGUGUUCAGCUUCGCUCCAUCAAAUCUGGCAGCUACUUGAGUAAGGUGGCUGGAGAUGGGCGAAAUGGUUCAAUUGAUGUUGGACAUCUUUAUGCUGACGAGGAGAGGGACUUUUUGCUGUCUGUGAGCUUCCCGCAAUCCCGUGAACAGACCAUACUCUUGAAGGUUGCCUUUUCCUACAGAGAUCCGGUGACAAAUGAGUGUAUCAAGAUCCAAGGUGACGAGGUGAUGAUCCUGAGGCCGAGAUCACGCACACCUGAACUUGUUUGCAUGGAGGUUGAUCGUGAGAGGAACCGAGUCCGUGCCGCGGAUUCUAUUGAGGCUGCAAGGGCUGCUGCUGAGAGAGGUGUUCUUUCUGAGGCAGUGGCUAUUCUUGAGGAGUGCCGAAGGGUGUUGUUAGAGUCCUUUUCAAGCCGGAAUGGGGACCGUUUAUGCAUGGCUCUUGAUGCGGAGCUGAGGGAGAUGCAGGAGAGGAUGGCUAGCCGGCAACGCUACGAGGCUUCAGGAAGGGCAUACCUGCUGUCGGGGCUCAGCUCGCAUUCUUGGCAGAGAGCCACGACACGCGGUGACUCCACGGACAGCAGUUCACUUGUUUACUCGUAUCAAACACCAUCCAUGGUUCAGAUGCUGCAGCGCUCGCAGAACCAGUGCCCUUCGCCUCAGAUCCCAAGGCCACAGAUCAUCGUACCAACAAGGUCAUUCAUCCAGAAACCUCAGCCAAGGUAG